rnacentral:rRNA from 1 species
CUCAGGAUGAACGCUGGCGGUGUGCCUCACACAUGCAAGUCGAACGGAGUAGUAGCAAUACUACUUAGUGGCGGACGGGUGAGUAACGCGUGGGAAUCUGCCCUAGGGUGGGGAAUAACAAACCGAAAGGCUUGCUAAUACCCCAUGUGCCGAGAGGUGAAAGGAGUAAUCCGCCCUUGGAUGAGCCCGCGUCCGAUUAGCUAGUUGGUAAGAUAAAAGCCUACCAAGGCUCCGAUCGGUAGCUGGUCUGAGAGGAUGAUCAGCCACAAUGGGACUGAGACACGGCCCAUACUCCUACGGGAGGCAGCAGUGGGGAAUUUUACGCAAUGGGCGAAAGCCUGACGUAGCGACACCGCGUGAGCGAAGAAGCCCUUUGGGGUGUAAAGCUCUGUCAGCAGGAAAGAAAAAAAUGACGGUACCUGCAGAGGAAGCAUCGGCUAACUACGUGCCAGCAGCCGCGGUAAGACGUAGGAUGCGAGCGUUGUCCGGAUUUAUUGGGCGUAAAGAGUUCGUAGGUGGUUUGUUAAGUCUGGUGUUAAAGACUGGGGCUCAACCUCGGGAGUGCAUUGGAUACUGACAAACUUGAGUGUGGCAGAGGCAAGCGGAAUUCCCAGUGUAGCGGUGAAAUGCGUAGAUAUUGGGAAGAACACCGGUGGCGCAAGCGGCUUGCUGGGACACUACUGACACUGAGGAACGAAAGCUAGGGGAGCGAAUGGGAUUAGAUACCCCAGUAGUCCUAGCUGUAAACGAUGGAUACUAGGCGUAGCGGGUAUCGACCCCUGCUGUGCCGUAGCUAACGCGAUAAGUAUCCCGCCUGAGUAGUACGGCCGCAAGGUGAA